GGAGCAUACCUUUACAAAUGGAGGAAGUAAGCUAUUCAUCUUUUGUUGGAGAGAGAAAAGGUAAGGCGAGAGAAAAACAUCUCAUGAAAUAAUUGGGGAGGAGGUUGGAUUUAUUAUGGUCUUUGUUAUUUAUAGCUCUCCCCUUAAAACCUACGAAAAUUUAUCAUUUAAUGAAAUCCUUCCAAAUACAUGACCUUUUGAAUACCCAUAGAUUUGAUUCAACUUUUUUAUAAUCCUAAUUGAAUACACCCAUA
rnacentral:lncRNA from 1 species